ensembl:snRNA U6 U6 spliceosomal RNA
GUCUUCACUUCAGCAGCACAUAUACUAAAAACAUGAAGGAUACAGAGAAGAUUAGCACAUCCCCUCUGCAAGAAAAACAUGCAAAUUCAUGGAGCAUUCCAUAUUUUU